GGAAGAAAAACACCCGAAUGCAGCUUCGACGCUGUCAGGCGACUUUGUCGGACAGUAAGAGUUGGUGAUACUCAAAACACCAAUUUCUGAACAGGGGAGAACAAGCUUGUUGUGAAAAGAAGCAUGUCAAGCAGAUUUUUUUCUAUGAUAUACCAUGACCCUUGUGAGAAUAAGCAGCUCGGAAAAUGGAUGGAUGGAUACAGCAACGAAAGCACCAUGGGAGAUGCUGACUCGCUCACUGAUGGUUUAAGUUGAGCUUAAAGCCCAAGUGUCAUCCCUAUAAACAUUCUAAAACAGAUAUUGAAAUGAAAAAUACAUAUAUCAUUAUUCACUUCAAUGUCUAUAUGAAAAAAUAAAUGUCAACGGCGAACGUGUCAUCCAUGCGCAAAGUUGCGGAAGUGCCAUUCGACAUCCAAGUGGUCGCCAUAUUUGCUGCAUCUCCUCACCCCGGACAUUCACCGUUGAAAACACGCUGUGGCCCCUACUGUGGAAGACGCCCCUUCUGACAAGGAAGCUCUUUUCGAAGAAGAGAACAUCUCACAAUCGAGUGAAGUGACUGGGGCAAUAUUACCCUAUUGUUUUGAGCCAUAUUUAGAUGAUAUGUGGAUCAAUUCCAACUAGCAACAGACUCCCAGACAGUAUGUAUGAGCCAGCCCGGUCGAAGCUGUACUCCGCCCACCUACUAUGAGACACGGAAGCUCGGCCGAAGCCAACGGGCACAUCGACACUUUUAGCACCUCUGACUUAUGGACGCAGAUCUUUUGUUAUGUUCUGAAAGGAUUAUGUCCUUCCCCCAACUAUUGUUGUUUUUUUUCUGUAUACACACCUACAUGUCAUUUGGAACCCACGAAGCCAUCGUCCUUUGCAUGCGUGCAAUCCAUUUUUCAUGACUAACUGGGUCUCUUGGAAACUUAUGAAGAGUAAAUCCAUCCUACCAAGUGUUCCAGCAAUGCAACGAGCCGGCAUUUUGGCUAACAAAGAACAAAGAGCUACCUUCCCGGAGGUCUUGGGACUGCAGUGACCACAAUGCCAAUGGUUGGCUGAGGCGACGAAGAGGUUGGACUACCACAUUGCCCACCGCCGUCAUUUACAGUCUGUAUCAAACCCUCUCCGGGUGUGGAGGGGCGCAAGGAGCCACUCGAGCAGAAAAGGUAAAAGUGAGACCGCUGGAAUACAUGUGCUAAGGAAGUGACUUUUACCGGUAUGUUGUUUUUGUUUUUUACCAGCCCUUUUAGCACUGCACUAGUGUUAGUGCCACAUUAGCGCUGUGCUAGCGUGUUGCUGCUGUGUUACUGCCAUGUCUCAGUGAUUUUUACGUGUUUUUUUUUUCUUUUUUUUUUUUUCUUUUUUAAUCGGCCCUGUUAGCACCACGCUAGUGUUAGCGCCGCGCCAGCAUUAGCGCUGCGCUAGUGUGUUGCUGCUGUGCUACUGCCACGUCUCAGUGAUUUUUAUUGGUGUUUUUUUUUUGUUUGUUUUUUUUUUGUUUUUUUUAAAUCGGCCCUGUUAGCGCCGCGUUAGUGCUGUGCUAGCAUGUUGCUGCUGUGUUACUGCCAUGUCUCAGUGAUUUAAGUGUUUUUCUUUAACCGGCUCUGUUAGUGCUAUGCUACCGUGUUGCUACUGUGUAGCUGCCACAACUGUUUUUUUUUUUUUUUUUUUUUUUACCAGCCUUGUUUGUGCUACCGUGUUGUUGCUAUGUUAAGCUACGCUAAGACAUUAAAACUUUAAAAACUCUCUGUGUAACGUCUUUGUAAAUAUCUCGUGUUUCAAUGUGGGCGCUUGCGGCUUUUACACAGGUGCAGCUUAUGUGUGUACCAAAUGGUAUUUCCUUUACAAAUAUACUGCGUGAGGCUUAUAAUCAGGUGCGCUCUGUAAGUCGGAAAUUACGGUACUCGUGUUUUUGCUCUUUCUCGAUGGCAAGUAUGUUUAAGUGAUACCGCUCCACUGGGAGACGAGCAUUUUCGUAUCUCAGGGAGGAGAUAAGAUUAUCGUAUUUUCCGCACUAUAAGGCGCACCUUCAUUGACUGGCCUCUUUUAAAAAAAAUUUCUCAUGUAUAAGGUGCACCGCAUUAUAAGGCGCAUAGAAUCGACGCCACAGUCGAGGUGCGGUUACGUUAUGCAUCCAUUAGAUGGGCUGCGCUAAAGGCUCAAUAUUGAUCCAUGUAUAAGGCGCACCUGAUUAUUAGGCGCCCUGUCAGCUUUUGAGAAAAUUAAAGGCUGUUCGGUGCACCUUAAAGUGUGGAAAAUACGGCAGCUUGGACU